GCUAGGUGUCGUGGCCCACGCCUGCAAUCCCAGCAGCUCUGGAGGCUGAGGCAGGAGGAUCUCAAUUUCAAAACCAGCCUCAGCCUCUUAGCCAGGCCCUAAGCAACUUAGAGAGACCCUGCCUUAA
rnacentral:sRNA from 1 species